AACGCGAAGAACCUUACCAGCCCUUGACAUCCCGGUCGCGGAUUCCAGAGACGGAAUCCUUCAGUUCGGCUGGACCGGAGACAGGUGCUGCAUGGCUGUCGUCAGCUCGUGUCGUGAGAUGUUGGGUUAAGUCCCGCAACGAGCGCAACCCCCGUCCUUAGUUGCUACCAUUUAGUUGAGCACUCUAAGGAGACUGCCGGUGAUAAGCCGCGAGGAAGGUGGGGAUGACGUCAAGUCCUCAUGGCCCUUACGGGCUGGGCUACACACGUGCUACAAUGGCGGUGACAAUGGGACGCUAAGGGGCAACCCUUCGCAAAUCUCAAAAAGCCGUCUCAGUUCGGAUUGGGCUCUGCAACUCGAGCCCAUGAAGUUGGAAUCGCUAGUAAUCGUGGAUCAGCACGCCACGGUGAAUACGUUCCCGGGCCUUGUACACACCGUACGUC
rnacentral:rRNA from 1 species